AUUGAACGCUGGCGGCAGGCCUAACACAUGCAAGUCGAGCGGUAGCACAGGGAGCUUGCUCCUGGGUGACGAGCGGCGGACGGGUGAGUAAUGUCUGGGAAACUGCCUGAUGGAGGGGGAUAACUACUGGAAACGGUAGCUAAUACCGCAUAACGUCGCAAGACCAAAGAGGGGGACCUUCGGGCCUCUUGCCAUCAGAUGUGCCCAGAUGGGAUUAGCUAGUAGGUGGGGUAACGGCUCACCUAGGCGACGAUCCCUAGCUGGUCUGAGAGGAUGACCAGCCACACUGGAACUGAGACACUGUCCAGACUCCUACGGGAGGCAGCAGUGGGGAAUAUUGCACAAUGGGCGCAAGCCUGAUGCAGCCAUGCCGCGUGUAUGAAGAAGGCCUUCGGGUUGUAAAGUACUUUCAGCGGGGAGGAAGGUGUUGAGGUUAAUAACCUCAGCAAUUGACGUUACCCGCAGAGGAAGCACCGGCUAACUCCGUGCCAGCCGCCGCAGUAAGAC
rnacentral:rRNA from 1 species